rnacentral:rRNA from 1 species
GACGAACGCUGGCGGCGUGCCUAAUACAUGCAAGUAGAACGCUGAAGGAGGAGCUUGCUUCUCUGGAUGAGUUGCGAACGGGUGAGUAACGCGUAGGUAACCUGCCUGGUAGCGGGGGAUAACUAUUGGAAACGAUAGCUAAUACCGCAUGAUAGUAGAUGUUGCAUAAAAUUUACUUACAAAGUGCAAUUGCAUCACUACCAGAUGGACCUGAGUUGUAUUAGCUAGUUGGUGGGGUGACGGCUCACCAAGACGACGCUACCUAGCCGACCUGAGAGGGGGCGCUGCCACACUGGGACUGGGACACGGCCCAGACUCCUACGGGAGGCAGCAGUAGGGAAUCUUCGGCAAUGGCCGGAAGUCUGAACGAGCAACGCCGCGUGAGUGAAGAAGGUUUUCGGAUCGUAAAGCUCUGUUGUGAGAGAAGAACGAGUGUGAGAGUUGAAAGUUCACACUGUGACGGUAUCUUACCAGAAAGGGACGGCUAACUACGUG